UGCCCCCUGGCCCAGCUGGUUAAGGCGCACGACUGUUAUCAUCCAUCUAACGGCCCAUGGUUCAGUUGGUUAAGGAUUACGCAAUCGUGAGAUCGAGAGUUCGAGCCUCUCGGGGGCAG